GCCAGCAUAGUUUAACGGUUAGAACAUGGGUCUCAUAUAUACAUGAUCAAGCCUAGCUUGUGUCAACCCAUAUGAAGGCCAUCCCAAGAUCUGAGUUCGAUUCUCAGUGCCGGCA